GCAUGUCAGAAAUUCUCAGCACCGACCUUUAACCCCCUGGUCCCCACCCAAGCAGCUUGAAGCAGCCUCCUGCUGACGUAUGAUGAUAAACUCGCCUGUCAGGUUUAGAUUCUGAGAUCAGCCACUCAGAGUUUCAGCUGCAGUGACUCUGGCAUGAUAUCCCCACAGGACCAGGCCCCAGAGGAUUGUCUGUACUUGCAGCUACAUGAUGCACUGAC